UUGAAGGUGAGAAAAUGAGAUUUAGGCUAUUUUUUUUUUUUGUCAAAUGUCAAGACUGAGUACGUAAGUGUGAACGGCGUUUUUUUAGGGCGCGACUCGUUCACUCGGCCCUUCGUAACGGGAUAAUGGGCGGUCGGGAAUGGGCCCGAGUGAGCGCUUGAAGACAUCAUCCUCCUCCCGCUUGAGUGUUAAAGCCUCUUUAAACCCCCCCCGCAGCCUUGCGCCCGCCCUACACUGUAUUCCCCGUGAGCUGGCAGACAUUGUCCGAGUCUCAGCGGGGAAGCCGGAUGACGCUGUGAAGCGCGGCUUUUCUUACUGUUGUUACUGGAAACACGACGCGAGCGCUUCGGGGGCCCGAGCACGGACAGGUUACCGGGCAGCGGUGGGCGCUGAGCGUCAGCGAGGCUUCUCGGAAGCGUGGACCGACACUGGGGGAAAAAAAAAAAACUGGCACCAACUUGAACACGCACACACACACAGACACAAUUGUUACGCAAAAUUGUUGGAGAAAAUGACCUUUUUAUGAAAAGAAUGACAUCACAUCCGAUACAAAAGGUCUGCAUUUACGACGAUGAUAACGUGACACCCUUGCGUCACAAUGCUAGGUUUUUACAACACCACGUAUGGAAGCCACCGAUGAAAAGGUUUUAUUCCGCCAAAUAUUUACGCGACGUAACUUGUCGAUACCUUAUCUUGCGUUGCGUAUUUCGUCAUGUAUUUCAGGACACGUCAGGUGAGGCCACCUGAUCUACACGCGCCACCAGCACCGGGGCACCCCAAGGAUGCGUCCUCUCUCCGCUGCUCUUCUCUCUCGAUACCAACGAUUCUGCCGUUCUAUAAGCACGUGAGUGUGCAUGCAAACACAGAUUUGAUCCUUUUUUGGGGGGUUUAUUCUAUUCUCUCAUUUUUACUUUGUUUUGAUUCUUUUUUAUCUUUAUCAGAAUCAGAUUCUGAUUCUGAUUCUUUAUCGCCAAUACGGGUGAAAGGUACAUUCACAACUGAGAAUAUUUCUCGGUCCGACGGUUAUCUCACUAUUUAGCGGCUUGAAUACAUCGAUUUACACGUAGAUGAAAACAUUUCUAAAGUUUGGCGUGAAAAGGCUUCACUGCAGGCGGGCAGAGCGGGCACAGUAACUCCUGACUGACUUAACUAACUAACUAACCUAACUGACCUUAAUGACCGCUCCCCCCGAUGACGCCGACACUGUCACGGAACAAAUUCCAGUCGAAAGUCAAGGCCCCGCUGUAUUUUACUUUUACUCAUUUGUCGAAAGUGAUUCUCGAUUCUACUUGCAUAGGUAACUGAUCUGUGCAACUGAAAUCGACUUUUUACACCGAGUACCAUCCCGAAAACAAAAAAAACAUAAAAGUAUCACCAGCAUGAUCAACCUUAAAAUACAGCAGCGUAAUAGGCCCAAGUGUUCAUCAAAAAAACAGGCAGAGGUUUUAUUUUUUAAAUGUAUAUUAGAUAUUAUUAUAAACCAAUGUAGCAUUAUGCGCAGUUUGAACAGAAACACUGCACCUAACUAUAGGAAAAUAAAACUGAAAUUAAACAAUGAUCACAUUAAAAUGUAUCGCAUAUAAAAGUAAAACAAAAUUGUAUCUACAUUUUUUAAAAUCAGUUCUUAAAGAUUAAAUGCAAAUCUAUUGUACUAAAAAGUUAAACACAACAGUGAUUUACUUCACGUACCACUCGUGGUACUCGUGCCAGACUUUGCGACUCACUGCAUCCCACUGAUGGAAUGUUUUACUACAUUGUGUUUUUAACCUUUUAACAGUUUCAACAAUUGCUGAUAUUGUAAUUGUAAAAAUAUCUGAUGACCGUGUUGUUCGUUUGUUCCUUUCAUGAAAGCGUACAGUAAGACUCCAAUAUGUGAUGGCGGCUUUUCAUCAAGUAAGAAGCCCCGUAAGUCAUAAAGCUCCCUAUGGAUGUUCCAUAUUGAUUAGCUAAUGUACAUCGUGCAGGUCUAAGCAUCCAGCGAGGGGAGGGCAGCCCUCCUCCCUGCCUGGUGGAUUUCUUGAUUUUUCUCAAUUUUUUUAUUUUUAUUUUUUUGCAGCCCUCCUCCCUGCCUGAUGGAUUUCUUGAUUUUUCUCAAUUUUUUUAUUUUUAUUUUUUUGCAGCCCUCCUCCCUGCCUGGUGGAUUUCUUGAUUUUUCUCAAUUUUUUUAUUUUUAUUUUUUUGCAGCCCUCCUCCCUGCCUGAUGGAUUUCUUGAUUUUUAUGUUUUAUUUGUAAUUUUUUUAGCAACCCUCUCCACUGCCUGGGGGAUUUCUUGAUUUGAUUUUUCUCAAUAUUUAUUUAUUAACAUUUUUUGCAGCCCUCCUCCCUGCUUGGUGGAUUUCUUGAUUUUUCUCAAUUUUUAUUUUAAUGUUUUUAAAAAAAAUUUGCAGCCCUCCUCCCUGCCUGGUGGAUUUUUUGAUUUUUGUCAAUUUUAUUUUUUAUUUUGUAUUUUUUUGCAGGCAUCCUCCCUGCCUGGUGGAUUUCCUGAUUUUUAUGUUUUAUUUUUAUUUUUUUGGAGCCCUCCUCCCUGCCUGGUAGAUUUCUUGAUUUAUUAAAUCUUUUCAAUUUCUAUUUUUUUUUUUUUUUUUCAUUUUUUUUAGCCCUCAUCCCUGGCUGGUGUAUUUCUUGAUUUUUAUGUUUUAUUUUUAUUUUUUUUAGCAGCCCUCCUCCCUGCCUGUUGGAUCUCUUGAUUUAUAUUUUUGUAUUUAUUUUUUUUCGUCACCUCGGGGCGGCUCACACAGGACUAAAGUCAACGGAGCGUUUU